rnacentral:piRNA from 1 species
UGAAUGACACUUAACAGGCACACCCGGUCC